UACGUAGGGUGCGAGCGUUAAUCGGAAUUACUGGGCGUAAAGUGUGCGCAGGCGGCAGAGCAAGUCGAGUGUGAAAGCCCCGGGCUUAACUUGGGAAUUGCGCUCGAAACUACUUUGCUGGAGUGUGGCAGAGGAAGGUGGAAUUCCACGUGUAGCGGUGAAAUGCGUAGAGAUGUGGAGGAACACCGAUGGCGAAGGCAGCCUUCUGGGCCAACACUGACGCUCAUGCACGAAAGCGUGGGGAGCAAACAGG
rnacentral:rRNA from 1 species